rnacentral:rRNA from 1 species
AGGGUCGAUCUGGCUCAGGAUGAACGCUGGCGGCGUACCUAACACAUGCAAGUCGAACGAAGCACUUGUUACGAUCCCUCGGGGUGACGACUUGUGACUGAGUGGCGGACGGGUGAGUAACGCGUGGGAAACCUGCCCUAUACCGGGGGAUAACAGUUGGAAACGACUGCUAAUACCGCAUAAGCGCACGAGAUGGCAUCAUCUAGUGUGAAAAACUCCGGUGGUAUAGGAUGGUCCCGCGUCUGAUUAGCUAGUUGGUGAGGUAACGGCCCACCAAGGCGACGAUCAGUAGCCGACCUGAGAGGGUGACCGGCCACAUUGGGACUGAGACACGGCCCAAACUCCUACGGGAGGCAGCAGUGGGGAAUAUUGCACAAUGGGCGAAAGCCUGAUGCAGCGACGCCCGCGUGAGCGAUGAAGUAUUUCGGUAUGUAAAGCUCUAUCAGCAGGGAAGAACAAAUGACGGUACCUGACUAAGAAGCUCCGGCUAAAUACGUGCCAGCCGCUGC